rnacentral:rRNA from 1 species
AGAGUUUGAUUCUGGCUCAGAUUGAACGCUGGCGGCGUGCUUAACACAUGCAAGUCGAACGUGAAAGUCCUUCGGGACGAGUAAAGUGGCGCACGGGUGAGUAACGCGUGGAUAAUCUACCCUUAAGAUGGGGAUAACGGCUGGAAACGGUCGCUAAUACCGAAUACGCUCCCGAUUUUAUCAUUGGGGGGAAAGAUGGCCUCUGCUUGCAAGCUAUCGCUUAAGGAUGAGUCCGCGUCCCAUUAGCUAGUUGGCGGGGUAACGGCCCACCAAGGCAACGAUGGGUAGCCGGUCUGAGAGGAUGACCGGCCACACUGGAACUGGAACACGGUCCAGACUCCUACGGGAGGCAGCAGUGGGGAAUAUUGCGCAAUGGGCGAAAGCCUGACGCAGCGACGCCGCGUGAGGGAUGAAGGUUCUCGGAUCGUAAACCUCUGUCAGGGGGGAAGAAACCCCCUCGUGUGAAUAAUGCGAGGGCUUGACGGUACCCCCAAAGGAAGCACCGGCUAACUCCGUGCCAGCAGCCGCGGUAAUACGGAGGGUGCAAGCGUUAAUCGGAAUCACUGGGCGUAAAGCGCACGUAGGCGGCUUGGUAAGUCAGGGGUGAAAUCCCACAGCCCAACUGUGGAACUGCCUUUGAUACUGCCAGGCUUGAGUACCGGAGAGGGUGGCGGAAUUCCAGGUGUAGGAGUGAAAUCCGUAGAUAUCUGGAGGAACACCGGUGGCGAAGGCGGCCACCUGGACGGUAACUGACGCUGAGGUGCGAAAGCGUGGGUAGCAAACAGGAUUAGAUACCCUGGUAGUCCACGCU